rnacentral:lncRNA from 1 species
ACAGGAAGGGGACAUCAGUGCUCAGAGGGGCACGAGAAUUCAUAGAAAAGCUGAGGGAGCUGAGGUUAUUACAAAAUCUCAACUCUGGUUCCCUGUGCCUGAGAAAAACGGCCUAAACAAAGCACAGGUGAGGGUUUGUGGUGGCCUCCCGUCUGGGGAUCCAAGGCAUUCUGCCUCCUUGGAAGUUCUUGGCCUCUCGGCACUCCCAGUCGAUGGAGGUGUUGUCAGUGGACAAAGAUGAACAUUCCAGAAGAAAAGGCUUGAAACCAGCAGGCAUCAGAGAGAGCUCACAGCUGCUAAGAAGCUGGAGGCAUCCGGGCUGGUCUCUGCCCACCCCCACAACUGUUAGGCCACAGAUGCGGCAGGCAGGGCUGAGCAGCCCGGGUGGGGAGAAAGGGCAGAAGAGGAUUAUGGGAGGUCCCCGGGGAAACCUCAGGCAGAUUGAGGACGUUGCCCCCCACCAGCCCCCUCUCCAGGCUCAGAGGCGGUCAGAGUAGAGGCACACCGUGCUUGUCUGGGGCAGGUGGGCUUUAGCGCACACACUUUCAGGCCUUCAUUAAGAUUCAUCCUCCCCUGUGACCUGUCUCCUGGGUCCUGACCUGCAGCCCAGGGGUAGGGGGGGGGUUCCCCUUCUGUGGGGCUGCCCCAAGGCCCUUGCUGAGAGGCGAGGCACACCAGGCCUGUGUUAAGACUUGCCAAACUGCACCAGGAUCGCAGUAUCCAUUGUGGGAGGCGGAGAUUUUGCCCAGAUAAUUCUCUCUCCUUUCCAGCCCCAAUCCUAGCCCUGGCCUGGAGCCUUCCAGCCCCUACAGGCUGGGGUAGGAGAUGGGAUGGGUGGUACUGCCUGAAGGCAGAGAGGCCUACAGGUUGGUCCCCAGACCCCUAACGCCCUCGUGGUCCCUGGCUUGGGAAAGCCACGUAUGAAUAAACAUAGCUCAAUGAUACCAUCCAA